CGGCCUGAAACUGGUGAUGUCAAGCCAAGUUCUGUCUCUGGUCGAAAGUAAAUACAAGUAUUUCCGGGGAGCUGCAGGUGUGCGCCCGCACACUCAAAGCCCUGAUGCCUGCGCUCUCACCGCAGUGUCUCCGCACUGGUCCUCUCGCCACAGCCGGAGCACCCCAAGGCGGGCCGGAGAGAGGCUGGAUUGAAUCGGAAAGCGAGCGGUAGGAGAAAGGGAGUUAAUAACGCCCUUCUCCAGAAGAUGAAACAGGUCGGAAAGGUUCAAGGACCUUGUGGAGGUCACACAACUAGAGGCAGUUCCUUGGCUGAUAGAUAUAACACCAAACCCUCGUUAUUGCCAGCACUGCGCAAUGCCCGAGACCUUGGAUGAGGCCUGACCCUCUCUAAGCCUCAGUUUCCACGUUUCAAAAUGCAACCAACAUCAGUACCUGUCUUAUAGCGAUAAACAAGGACAAAAUAGGACUUGGGAAGAAAACCGAAAGUGCGCUGAGUUUGUGUCGGGGCACAGGACUGUCAUGGCUCUUGACGUCUCUGGUCCCCAAGGGCUUUUGGCUGGCUGGAAAGUAGCUCUAGAUCCUUGUAGUAAUUGCCAAAUCUCAUGAGGCUGUCCCAAGGCUAAUUUACUAGCUUUCACAGGGUAAGUCAACAGUGUGCAACUUACGAGUCCCCAGGGCCACCCAAAGAGUGGAGCGGGAGAGUGCCCUAGAUGGACUAGGAGAAGCACAAAGGAAAGCUAACUCUUUUGGUAGAUUCCACCGCUGUUUUUAACCUCCAGAAACAAUCAUUUCAUAUGGUUUGACUUAAUAUUUAAUCCUCCUGACCUCCCAGUGAAGCACUCUUACUCCCAUUAAGCAAAUGAGAAUUAGAUUUGGUCAAGUUCACCAGUAAAGCUAGUUCACCAGUAAAACCUAGAAUUUGAACCCAGCUCUCUGUGGACUCUGAAGAGAUGGUUUUUCUCAUAGUUUUCUGUUAAGUUGAUGGAGACCUACCAAGGGGCCAAAGAAAAUGUGAUCAAAACCUUCUUGAUGUCACAAAAUCUCUAGGAACUUGUAGGGAAAGAGUCUGAGUGCCCUCAUCCAUGACACUCCUGGGUCUCCUAUCCUGGCAAUCCAGCUAAUUGCCAUGUGGUUGAAUAUGGGCCCUGAAUACAGAUAACUUGCUCUGCCAUUUACUGGACUGGAGAUCUGUAAUUCUUCCGUCAGCAAAGCUUUUUUCAUCUAUAUGUCAGGUGCUAUGAAGAUCUAAUGAUGAACAGGACAAAAAAGAUGAUAUCACCCUUAUGGCAGAAAGCGAAGAGGAACUAAAGAGCCUCUUGAUGA